AUGUUAGGAGGAAAGAGCGAAGUUAGGAGGAAAUGAUGAGUGUUGUACAGACAGACGUACAAGUGAAGUGGCCAGUUCAUGUCUGAGCAGUGAUCUGGUGUGAUCUACUCUCAGCCGUUUUCCACGAACAUUCUCUCUUUCUCUCCCACGUGACGUUUGUAUGAUUCUUCUCUCCGUACAUAUCAAUACAGUUACAAAUUGACGCUAUUGGCUACUUUGUAAUACUAGAUUUUCUUAUAAAUAUGAAUAUAUGAUAUUGUGAUUUUGGUGAAUUUGAAUUCGUAAAACAUUAAAGUGAAUUAAGUACAAACUAUGGAGCUAACCGUUUUUUUUAUUUUUGUUUUUUCCUGGCAAAUUGUGUGGAUAAGUUUUUGCAAUCCGGCCCUAAGUCAUUUCCUUUAAAAAAUAAUCAGUCUCACCUUAGGAAU